rnacentral:misc_RNA from 1 species
ACAAGAUGAUAAAAUAUUUUAACUGUUAUAUUAUUAUUAUUAUCUAUUAUUAUUAUUAUUAUUGAAAUUGGCCCAUGCAUGCAUCUGGUGUUUGGGGCUCUGCUGGAACAUUGGAAAGAACUGACUUCUUCGAUAGCCAUUGAAAUUUAUCCUUCUUCUUUCUUAUAAUUUUUUUCUUUGUUUGAAUUGUAGUCAUUACUUGGUGAAAUUAAUUGUUGAGUUCUUUACACUAUAUAAAAUUGUUUCUUGGAGGUCCUAUUCAAUGACAAAAGUCAGAUUGUGUAGUCGAUAAUAUAGAAUAUAAUAGGAGUGCAGUUUUAAGGUUGGAGACUCUUGAAUAUAAUAUAUCUAUUUUAUCAAACCAUUUAAGCAGCAAAACAUUCAAAGAUAUCAAAUGCCAAUUGCUUUGGCAUUUCCUGAUUGAUUACAUUUCUAUCUAUCAAAAGAGUAAGCCUUAUCCUUUUCUGGCAUCUUUAAAUUAUCCAGUUAUUUGAAAUUUGUUCCUCAAACAGAGCCAGGGUAGACAUGAUUAAACUGUAGUGGAACACUUUUGCUGACGAAAGCUG